UUAAGCGACUAAGCGUACACGGUGGAUGCCCUGGCAGUCAGAGGCGAUGAAGGACGUGCUAAUCUGCGAAAAGCGUCGGUAAGGUGAUAUGAACCGUUAUAACCGGCGAUGUCCGAAUGGGGAAACCCAGUGCAAUUCGUUGCACUAUCGUUAACUGAAUACAUAGGUUAACGAGGCGAACCGGGGGAACUGAAACAUCUAAGUACCCCGAGGAAAAGAAAUCAACCGAGAUUCCCCCAGUAGCGGCGAGCGAACGGGGAGCAGCCCAGAGUCUGAAUCAGCUUGUGUGUUAGUGGAACGGUCUGGAAAGUCCGACGGUACAGGGUGAUAGUCCCGUACACCAAAAUGCACAGGCUGUGAACUCGAAGAGUAGGGCGGGACACGUGGUAUCCUGUCUGAAUAUGGGGGGACCAUCCUCCAAGGCUAAAUACUCCUGACUGACCGAUAGUGAACCAGUACCGUGAGGGAAAGGCGAAAAGAACCCCGGCGAGGGGAGUGAAAAAGAACCUGAAACCGUGUACGUACAAGCAGUGGGAGCACCUUCGGGUGUGACUGCGUACCUUUGUAUAAUGGGUCAGCGACUUAUAUUCUGUAGCAAGGUUAACCGUAUAGGGAGCCGCAGGAAACCGAGUCUUAACUGGGCGUUAAGUUGCAGGGUAUAGACCCGAAACCCGGUGAUCUAGCCAUGGGCAGGUUGAAGGUUGGGUAACACUAACUGGAGGACCGAACCGACUAAUGUUGAAAAAUUAGCGGAUGACUUGUGGCUGGGGUGAAAGGCCAAUCAAACCGGGAGAUAGCUGGUUCUCCCGAAAGCUAUUUAGGUAGCGCCUCGUGAAUUCAUCUUCGGGGUAGAGCACUGUUUCGGCUAGGGGUCAUCCCGACUUACCAACCCGAUGCAAACUACGAAUACCGAAGAAUGUUAUCACGGGAGACACACGGCGGGUGCUAACGUCCGUCGUGAAGAGGAAACAACCCAGACCGCCAGCUAAGGUCCCAAAGUCAUGGUUAAGUGGGAAACGAUGUGGGAAGGCACAGACAGCCAGGAUGUUGGCUUAGAAGCAGCCAUCAUUUAAAGAAAGCGUAAUAGCUCACUGGUCGAGUCGGCCUGCGCGGAAGAUGUAACGGGGCUAAACCAUGCACCGAAGCUGCGGCAGCGACACUAUGUGUUGUUGGGUAGGGAGCGUUCUGUAAGCCUGCGAAGGUGUGCUGUGAGGCAUGCUGGAGGUAUCAGAAGUGCGAAUGCUGACAUAAGUAACGAUAAAGCGGGUGAAAAGCCCGCUCGCCGGAAGACCAAGGGUUCCUGUCCAACGUUAAUCGGGGCAGGGUGAGUCGACCCCUAAGGCGAGGCCGAAAGGCGUAGUCGAUGGGAAACAGGUUAAUAUUCCUGUACUUGGUGUUACUGCGAAGGGGGGACGGAGAAGGCUAUGUUAGCCGGGCGACGGUUGUCCCGGUUUAAGCAUGUAGGCUGGUUGUCCAGGCAAAUCCGGAUAAUCAAGGCUGAGGUGUGAUGACGAGGCACUACGGUGCUGAAGUAACAAAUGCCCUGCUUCCAGGAAAAGCCUCUAAGCAUCAGGUAACAUCAAAUCGUACCCCAAACCGACACAGGUGGUCAGGUAGAGAAUACCAAGGCGCUUGAGAGAACUCGGGUGAAGGAACUAGGCAAAAUGGUGCCGUAACUUCGGGAGAAGGCACGCUGGUGUGUAGGUGAAGUCCCUGCGGAUGGAGCUGAGACCAGUCGAAGAUACCAGCUGGCUGCAACUGUUUAUUAAAAAACACAGCACUGUGCAAACACGAAAGUGGACGUAUACGGUGUGACGCCUGCCCGGUGCCGGAAGGUUAAUUGAUGGGGUUAUCCGUAAGGAGAAGCUCUUGAUCGAAGCCCCGGUAAACGGCGGCCGUAACUAUAACGGUCCUAAGGUAGCGAAAUUCCUUGUCGGGUAAGUUCCGACCUGCACGAAUGGCGUAAUGAUGGCCAGGCUGUCUCCACCCGAGACUCAGUGAAAUUGAACUCGCUGUGAAGAUGCAGUGUACCCGCGGCAAGACGGAAAGACCCCGUGAACCUUUACUAUAGCUUGACACUGAACAUUGAGCCUUGAUGUGUAGGAUAGGUGGGAGGCUUUGAAGCGUGGACGCCAGUCUGCGUGGAGCCAACCUUGAAAUACCACCCUUUAAUGUUUGAUGUUCUAACGUUGGCCCCUGACCGGGGUUGCGGACAGUGUCUGGUGGGUAGUUUGACUGGGGCGGUCUCCUCCCAAAGCGUAACGGAGGAGCACGAAGGUUAGCUAAUCCCUGGUCGGACAUCAGGAGGUUAGUGCAAUGGCAUAAGCUAGCUUGACUGCGAGCGUGACGGCGCGAGCAGGUGCGAAAGCAGGUCAUAGUGAUCCGGUGGUUCUGAAUGGAAGGGCCAUCGCUCAACGGAUAAAACUCCGGGAUAACAGGCUGAUACCGCCCAAGAGUUCAUAUCGACGGCGGUGUUUGGCACCUCGAUGUCGGCUCAUCACAUCCUGGGGCUGAAGUAGGUCCCAAGGGUAUGGCUGUUCGCCAUUUAAAGUGGUACGCGAGCUGGGUUUAGAACGUCGUGAGACAGUUCGGUCCCUAUCUGCCGUGGGCGCUGGAGAAUUGAGGGGGGCUGCUCCUAGUACGAGAGGACCGGAGUGGACGCAUCACUGGUGUUCGGGUUGUCAUGCCAAUGGCACUGCCCGGUAGCUAAAUGCGGAAGAGAUAAGUGCUGAAAGCAUCUAAGCACGAAACUUGCCCCGAGAUGAGUUCUCCCUGAGACUUUAAGUCUCCUGAAGGAACGUUGAAGACGACGACGUUGAUAGGCCGGGUGUGUAAGCGCAGCGAUGCGUUGAGCUAACCGGUACUAAUGAACCGUGAGGCUUAACCU
rnacentral:rRNA from 1 species